rnacentral:rRNA from 1 species
ACGGGUGAGUAAUACAUCGGAACGUGCCCAGUAGUGGGGGAUAGCCCGGCGAAAGCCGGAUUAAUACCGCAUACGACCUACGGGUGAAAGCGGGGGAUCGCAAGACCUCGCGCUAUUGGAGCGGCCGAUGUCAGAUUAGGUAGUUGGUGGGGUAAAGGCCUACCAAGCCGACGAUCUGUAGCUGGUCUGAGAGGACGACCAGCCACACUGGGACUGAGACACGGCCCAGACUCCUACGGGAGGCAGCAGUGGGGAAUUUUGGACAAUGGGCGCAAGCCUGAUCCAGCCAUGCCGCGUGCGGGAAGAAGGCCUUCGGGUUGUAAACCGCUUUUGUCAGGGAAGAAACGCACUGAGCUAAUACCUCGGUGUAAUGACGGUACCUGAAGAAUAAGCACCGGCUAACUACGUGCCAGCAGCCGCGGUAAUACGUAGGGUGCGAGCGUUAAUCGGAAUUACUGGGCGUAAAGCGUGCGCAGGCGGCUUUGCAAGACAGAUGUGAAAUCCCCGGGCUUAACCUGGGAACUGCAUUUGUGACUGCAUGGCUAGAGUGCGGCAGAGGGGGAUGGAAUUCCGCGUGUAGCAGUGAA